rnacentral:rRNA from 1 species
AUGCAGUACGGCGGGGACUGGGACGGCUCCAACGUCCAUAUGGACCACAUCGAGUUCCUCCGCAAGACGCGGCGGUUGCCGGCGCGGACCAGGUGCGGGUCCGUCUCGCGCCUGCGAAGGAGAUCACGCCGGAGCGGAGGAAGGCGAGCGGGUAGUCUUCCGCUCGCAUUUCCUGCGCGGCGGCGGCUUGCCGGCGAGCGCUUUCUUCCGCUCCUUUCUUUACUUCUAUCAACUCCAGCCGCACCACCUCACCCCGAACACGGUGGUGCUGCUGUCCGCCUUCGUCACCUUGUGCGAAGGCUACCUUGGCGUUCUCCCUACCCUCGAGCUCUGGGGGAGUUCUUCCAAUCUAAGCUGGGCACCCGCAUGCAGGGCGUGCCGGUCCAGAGCGGCGCCUUCAUCGCGAUGCGGAGGCCGGCGGCCGACAACCCCUUCCCCGUCAUCACGUUAAUCCAGUCGGUGAAGCGUUGA